rnacentral:rRNA from 1 species
UGGGGAAUAUUGCGCAAUGGGGGAAACCCUGACGCAGCGACGCCGCGUGAGCGAUGAAGGCCUUAGGGUUGUAAAGCUCUGUUUUAGGGGACGAAUGUCCAUGUGAGUAAUAUGCGCGUGGAAUGACGGUACCCUAAGAGGAAGCCCCGGCUAACUACGUGCCAGCAGCCGCGGUAAGACGUAGGGGGCGGGCGUUGUCCGGAAUUACUGGGCGUAAAGAGCACGUAGGCGGGAACUUAAGUCAGGUGUGAAAGACCGGGGCUCAACUCCGGGAUUGCACUUGAAACUGGGUUUCUUGAGGGCAGGAGAGGAAAGCAGAAUUCCUGGUGUAGCGGUGAAAUGCGUAGAAAUCAGGAGGAAUACCAGUGGCGAAGGCGGCUUUCUGGACUGACCCUGACGCUGAGGUGCGAAAGCGUGGGUAGCAAACA